rnacentral:rRNA from 1 species
CACGAAGUUAGCCGGGGCUUCUUCUCACACUACCGUCAUCAUCGUCGUGUGCGAAAGAGCUUUACAACCCAAAGGCCUUCAUCACUCACGCGGCAUGGCUGGAUCAGGCUUGCGCCCAUUGUCCAAUAUUCCCCACUGCUGCCUCCCGUAGGAAUCACUAGUGAAUUCGCGGCCGCC